rnacentral:rRNA from 1 species
UACAGAGGAGCCAAGCGUUGUCCGGAUUGACUGGGCGUAAAGCGCACGCAGGCGGCAGCGCGCGUGGGGUGUGAAAUCUGGCCGCUUAACGGCCAGGCGCCAUCCCAUACGGCGCAGCUGGAGUGAUGCAGAGGUCGAUGGAAUUCCGCGUGUAGCAGUGAAAUGCGUAGAGAUGCGGAGGAACACCGAUGGCGAAGGCAGCCCCU